rnacentral:rRNA from 1 species
GACAGAGGCCCCGAGCGUUAGGCGGAAUCACUGGGCUUAAAGCGUGUGUAGGCGGACCGGUAAGUACCUUGUGAAAUCCCACGGCUCACCCGUGGAACUGCUGGGUAUACUGCCGGUCUUGGGCCACUCAGGGGCAACCGGAACAAGCGGUGGAGCGGUGAAAUGCGUAGAUAUCGCUUGGAACGCCGAAGGUGAAAACAGGUUGCUGGGAGUGCGCCGACGCUGAGACACGAAAGCCAGGGGAGCGAACGGG